rnacentral:rRNA from 1 species
ACCCCCAGAAGAAGUCCUGGCUAACUCCGUGCCAGCAGCCGCGGUAAUACGGAGAGGGCUAGCGUUAUUCGGAAUUAUUGGGCGUAAAGGGCGCGUAGGCGGAUUAGUAAGUUAAAAGUGAAAUCCCAAGGCUCAACCUUGGAAUUGCUUUUAAAACUGCUAAUCUAGAGAUUGAAAGAGGAUAGAGGAAUUCCUAGUGUAGAGGUGAAAUUCGUAAAUAUUAGGAGGAACACCAGUGGCGAAGGCGUCUAUCUGGUUCAAAUCUGACGCUGAGGCGCGAAGGCGUGGGGAGCAAACAGGAUUAG